AUUGAACGCUGGCGGCAUGCCUAACACAUGCAAGUCGAACGGCAGCACGAUCAGGUUUGCCAGUUAGAGGUGGCGUGGGGCGGGGGUGUGAAAUAUACAUCAGCGUGCACUGUUGCGGGGGUGAAAUAGUAGAAAGACUAGCUAUAACAGCACAUACCACGAGGGUGUGAGUGGGGGAGAGCAAGGCACCUUGCCAGAGUGGCGGCGCCUGUCUGAUUAGCUAGUUGGUGGGGUAAAGGCUCACCAAGGCGACGAUCCGUAGCUGGUCUGAGAGGACGAUCAGCCACACUGGAACUGAGACACGGCCCAGACUCCUACGGGAGGCAGCAGUGGGGAAUAUUGGACAAUGGGCGAAAGCCUGAUCCAGCAAUGCCGCGUGUGUGAAGAAGGCCUUCGGGUUGUAAAGCACUUUUGUCCGGAAAGAAAAGACUCUGGUUAAUACCUGGGGUUGAUGACGGUACCGAAAGAAUAAGCACCGGCUAACUACGUG
rnacentral:rRNA from 1 species